UACGGGGGGGGCAAGCGUUGUUCGGAAUUACUGGGCGUAAAGGGCUCGUAGGCGGCCAACUAAGUCAGACGUGAAAUCCCCGGGCUCAACCCGGGAACUGCGUCCGAUACUGGAAGGCUUGAAUCCGGGAGAGGGAUGUGGAAUUCCAGGUGUAGCGGUGAAAUGCGUAGAUAUCUGGAGGAACACCGGUGGCGAAGGCGACAUCCUGGACCGGUAUUGACGCUGAGGCGCGAAAGCCAGGGGAGCAAACGGG
rnacentral:rRNA from 1 species